CACUCCUGCGGGAGGCAGCAGUGGGGAAUUUUACGCAAUGGGGGAAACCCUGACGUAGCGACACCGCGUGAGCGAAGAAGCCCUUUGGGGUGUAAAGCUCUGUCAGCUGGAACGAAAACAAUGACGGUACCAGCAGAGGAAGCAUCGGCUAACUACGUGCCAGCAGCCGCGGUAAGACGUAGGAUGCGAGCGUUGUCCGGAUUUAUUGGGCGUAAAGAGUUCGUAGGUGGUUUGUUAAGUUUGGUGUUAAAGAUCGGGGCUCAACCCUGGGACUGCACUGAAUACUGGCAGACUCGAGUGUGGUAGAGGCUAGUGGAAUUCCCAGUGUAGCGGUGAAAUGCGUAGAUAUUGGGAAGAACACCGGUGGCGUAGGCGACUAGCUGGGCCAUAACUGACGCUGAGGAACGAAAGCCAGGGGAGCGAAUGGGAUUAGAUACCCUAGUAGUCCCA
rnacentral:rRNA from 1 species